GUAAUUUGCUACUCUGGAAAAAUAUUAAUUAAGAUUAUUAUUAUUGUUUAUGUUUACAAUCCGAAAAAUUAAAAUAAAAAGAACUUCGAUUUCCACCAAUGAAAUGUCGUACACCAUUCAUUCACACCAUUCCCGAUUGCACGUUACACGAUCACACCAUUCCUCAUACACCAUUACACCAUUCCCCUUACACCAUACACCAUAGCACCAUACACCUUACACCAUUGCACCAUACACCUUACACCAUUACACCAUACACGUUUUUUUGGGAAGUUUACACCAUCCAAGGGCUGUAAUGA
rnacentral:lncRNA from 1 species